CAGCCAGACUCCUACGGGAGGCAGCAGUGGGGAAUAUUGCACAAUGGGGGGAACCCUGAUGCAGCGACGCCGCGUGGGUGAAGGAGCACCUCGGUGCGUAAAGCCCUAUCGGCAGGGAAGAAACAGACGGUACCUGACUAAGAAGCCCCGGCUAACUACGUGCCAGCAGCCGCGGUAAUACGUAGGGGGCAAGCGUUAUCCGGAUUUACUGGGUGUAAAGGGGGCGCAGACGGCGAUGCAAGCCAGGAGUGAAAGCCCGGGGCCCAACCCCGGGACUGCUCUUGGAACUGCGUGGCUAGAGUGCAGGAGGGGCAGGCGGAAUUCCUGGUGUAGCGGUGAAAUGCGUAGAUAUCAGGAGGAACACCGGUGGCGAAGGCGGCCUGCUGGACGAUGACUGACGUUGAGGCUCGAAAGCGUGGGGAGCAAACAGGAUUAGAUACCCUCGUAC
rnacentral:rRNA from 1 species